GAGAGUGAAAUAGUACGUGAAAUUGUUAAAAGGGAAACGCUUGAAGUCAGUCGUGCCGGCGUUGGAUUCAGCUUGCUUCGCGGAGCAGGCGUAUUUCCGCGCAUGGCAGGUCAGCGUCAGUUUUGCGCGGCGUGAAAAGGCUCGGGUAAGGUAGCUCUCUUCGGGGAGUGUUAUAGACCUGGGCAGAUGCGCUGCGCGGGACUGAGGAUUGCAGCGGACACCCCCUCGGGGGCGCGGCGACCGAACCCUGCUCGGCCACCCUCGUUCGAUAGCGUGCUAGCGGACGCGGGAGCGGCGGUGCACCGGAACAGGCAAGCCAGCGGUUCGCUAAGGAUGCUGACGUAAUGGCUUUAAACGA
rnacentral:rRNA from 1 species